rnacentral:rRNA from 1 species
GAUGAACGCUGGCGGCGUGCCUAAUACAUGCAAGUCGAGCGAACAGACGAGGAGCUUGCUCCUCUGACGUUAGCGGCGGACGGGUGAGUAACACGUGGAUAACCUACCUAUAAGACUGGGAUAACUUCGGGAAACCGGAGCUAAUACCGGAUAAUAUAUUGAACCGCAUGGUUCAAUAGUGAAAGACGGUUUUGCUGUCACUUAUAGAUGGAUCCGCGCCGCAUUAGCUAGUUGGUAAGGUAACGGCUUACCAAGGCAACGAUGCGUAGCCGACCUGAGAGGGUGAUCGGCCACACUGGAACUGAGACACGGUCCAGACUCCUACGGGAGGCAGCAGUAGGGAAUCUUCCGCAAUGGGCGAAAGCCUGACGGAGCAACGCCGCGUGAGUGAUGAAGGUCUUCGGAUCGUAAAACGCUGUUAUUAGGGAAGAACAAAUGUGUAAGUAACUAUGCACGUCUUGACGGUACCUAAUCAGAAAGCCACGGCUACUACGUG